AGGUUAAGAAACGCACACCUGAGAACAACUGCACUCUUCUGAAGUAUGACAUCCCUGCACCAUUAUGACAUUACAAAAGAGAUGCCUCUGAGAAGGCUGUACCUUCUAAGCACACACUGGCUGCACUAACACACGGAAAAGGUCUCCAGGCUCAUUAUUUUUAUAAUGACAAAAACCGCAACACACUCUGACAGAGAGUAGUGAACCGGUCGCAUACAAUCCAGCAGAAAGAAAAGAAAAGAAGAGAAAAGAAAAGAAACCUAAGAACCCUCAUGAGUGCCCAGGACAAUAGGACUCCACUACCACAAGGAGUGAUAAGUCAAGGUAAUACCCAUGAGAGCAAAAAUUUUCUACAGAGAUCAACUCAGGGUUCUAUUCAAAUAUCUAAAUGAAUGAACAAGAAUUUUAGCCAUUGGCAGAUGUUACCAAAUACCUGCCUCAAGCAUCAAAACACACCAGUACCAACAACAAAACAAAUUAUCUAUGGAAGGCCUGUUUAAUCCAAAUCCUAUGAAUUCUAGCCAACUUAUUUAAUAUUUUUCUCUAUUUAAAAUUAAGAAUUAUGAAAUAAACUCAUUUAAAGGGGAAGAGACUGUCUUAUCAAACUGAUGCCUUUAGUUUUGAGGUAGCUACUGUGAAGAAACUUGUGGGAACAAUUGGAUCACAGGGCCAGUCAUCUAACAAAGCUCUUUUUGAGGCCUGACAAUAAAACCGUACCAUCUGCAUAGAAGAAAAGACUUAUCUUUUUCUUCUCUACUGGAGGAGGAAGAAGGCUGAACAGAAAAGACAAAACAAAAUGAUGGGGAAGAAGCGGUCUGAGAGUCCAGGAGACACAGCCAACAAAAGGUGCCACCAUCCGAUCCGACCCCCGUUCUGCCUCGUCCACCACCUACCUAGAGCAAGAACAGCUGACUCUUUGGGUUGGAUCCACAAAAUCCCAAGUAGCAGGAUUAUUAGCAGGCUCUUCUUCAAGAGUUGGAGUCGACAUUUGGCUCCUCCUACAUAAGGUUAAAAAGUUACGGCUGUUUUGAAGGUCUGUUGAUGAAACAACUCCAAAUAAAAUUUAUUAUACUCAAAGUAAAGGACUCAAAAUCCCUCUAUCUUUCUCUUUCAGUAUUUGACCUGAUGUUAUUUUCACUGAGCUAGACACAAAAAUGUAGUUAACACGAUGCUGUAUAUAAUAUAUAACCCAGCCAGUUUGUGGCCUUGGGGUGAGGCUAACCUUCCAAACAACACUUUUCUGGGGAUAAACUUUUUCUUAACCCUAAUUUCUAAAAAAAAAAAAAAAUCUCAGCAUAGUCAUAAAAUGA